ACUCCUUCGUAUGCAUUCCUUGGAAAAUCUGAACAAAAUGAGUGAGAACGCUCUACCGUCUCCUCAUCGAAACUGAGGUGCAGUUGCUGGGAAAGGCUGGCCGUCGGCACAAACAAGAAGACCUUCGUGUGCUCUGAUGACUGGAGGUGCUAAGAAGAAGUGGAAAAAGUGAGGCGGGCCCAUGUCCCCGAGCGUGGUCGUGGAUAACUCAGGAUGGUGCAGUUGCAGAGUAAGGCUGGCUGUCGGCAGAGAGAAGAAGACCUUCGCGUUGUCUGAUGACUGGAUGUGCUAAGGAGAACUGGCAAAAGUGGGGCGGGUGCACGUUGCCGAGCGAGGCUGUGGAUAUCUCAGGACGUGUCCCAGCAUGUGCUUGGAUCGAUGAUGACACCCUUGUAUGCAUUCCUUGGAAAAUCUGAACAAAAUGAGUGAGAACACUCUACCGUCUCCUCAUCGAAACUGAGGUCCAGCACGUUUCCUCUCUCGGGAGUAUGGGACAGUUAGGAGUGAGGGCCAACGUCCCCUGCUGACAAACAGGCAAACACCACUAAGGGCUCCAGCAUUGGAGGGGCUCCUGUGUGAGGGUCGACCAUGUCUGCCCAUAAGCUGGGUCAUCUAUGAAUCCCCGGUCCCUGCUAAAAGGCCGUUGAGGGAAUGCAAGAGGGCAGGCUUUCCUGCUAGUCUUCAGGGUCGGAGUGUGUUCUGGUAUAGACCCAGUAAGCUUGCAGCUUGGAGAGGUGAUUUUGGGACAGGAUCACACUUUGUGCAUGCCGCUUCCGAGGUUGUUUAUGGAAGCCAAAAUGAGCAAGCUUCCCUGGUUGGAGCCUGGAGCC